rnacentral:rRNA from 1 species
UACGUAGGGACCGAGCGUUGUCCGGAUUCAUUGGGCGUAAAGAGCUCGUAGGCGGCUGUUCAAGUCGAACGUGAAAACUCGGGGCUCAACUCCGAGCCUGCGUUCGAUACUGGAUGGCUAGAGUCUGGUAGGGGGAUCUGGAAUUCCAGGUGUAGCGGUGAAAUGCGUAGAUAUCUGGAGGAACACCGGUGGCGAAGGCGGCAUCCUGGGACCGGCAUUGACGCCGAGGCGCGA